CUGUUCUUAAACCUUAGGUUUUAGAAGCUUCUUUUAGAACCUACCUUUCAUUCUCAGACUCCAGCUAUUGAGUGACAACACUCAGAGUUCCAUCAGUUGCCUUGCUGGCAACCAUGAAAGGCUUCUCACAGUGAGCCAAGCCCCAUCUGUGGAACCCUGCAGGAGCCACCCUUGCCACCUUAAUUCAGAGGAGUUGAAGGUCAAAGGCUGAUCUUCUUUCUCCUGCCCUGCAACCUCUUCUCUCAUCCCCUCCCCUCCUCCUUCUUAAUUUUCAGAUAGGGUAUAGUGUAUCUCUAGCUGUCCUUAAACUGCCUUUAUAGCUGAAAAUGACCUCAGACAAACUUCUGAUCCUCUGCCUCUACUUCCUGAAUGAUGAUAUUGCAUGUGCUACCAUAGUUGAUUUACAUCAUGCUGGAUACCAAAUUCAGGGCUUCUGAUAUACCAGGCAAGCACACUAUGAACUAGUCCACAUCCCAGAUUCUCUCAUUCCAUCAGGAGGAUUAUGCUGUCAUAUGUGGGAUCUCAGGCAGAAGUGAAGGGGCCCAAGAUGAAGCCCAAAUAAAGGGCUCUAGGUUUGCAAAGCACUGGGCAGGUCAUCAUAUUCCAAGAGCAGCUCCCUGGGCACAGUCCACACUUAAGACCCUAAGCAAAUCUCCUGGCUUUCCUUGGCAAACUAUGAUGUCCAGAACUUAUCUCUGCUUUCAGUUUUCACCCUGACUGAAUUUAAAACAGAAAUUUGGAACUGUUACAAUGACCAGCAGUUUCCAGUUCCUUAGGGUCUAGUCUCUCUGUUAUCAUCAGCAGUAUGGCUGCAAACCUUUAGACAUGCCUGUUCUGCGAUGAAGAAGCAGUCAGACCCCAUUUGACUCUCUGAAGAUGACUAAGCUCAAAAGGUACCCAUUUUUCUUAUAAGUUAAGAGGUAACAGAGUUGGGGGUGUAGAUCACUGGUGUUUGCUUAAACCCCAUGAGACCCUGAGGUCGAGCCUUGGCACACUCAAAACAAGAUAAAAGUUUUGUUUCCUCCAGUGAUCUUUUGAAAUAUGUUCACCAGGCCCCAUGUUUUCAGCUUUUGUAAAGAGAGGCUGGGAACUUAGCUCAUUAGGUACAGCACUUACCUAACAAGAACUAACUCCUGAGUUGUAUUUCCAACUUCAUUAAAAACUGGUUCAUUCUUGGCUACCUGUUGAUUUUGAGGCCAACCUGGGGCUAUAAGAGACCCAAUCUCAAAAAAAAAAAAAAAAAAAAAAGCUUUAAAAACAAGCAACUUAGCUGGGCGUUGGUUUCGAAGGCCUUUAAUCCCAGCACUCGGCAGGCAGAGGCAGGCGGAUUUCUGAGUUCAAGGCCAGCCUGGUCUACAGAGUGAGUUCCAGGACAGCCAGGGCUACACGGAGAAACUCUGUCUGGAGGGGAAAAAAAAGCAACUUAACCUAUUGAAAUGGAAAUGCAAAAUCUAUCUGACAUCCACUUGCUUCUCCCAGCUCUUAGUCUCAGGUAGUGAGUAAUGAGUUGAAAGGUUCCAAGGAGGUGUCCCAAGACUGGAGGACAA
ensembl:lncRNA